UUUCCCUCAGAAUAGAUGGAAUGUGUAAUGAAACAGUUAUAUUCGAUAAAGCCAAUGAUUUAGAGGAAUUGUGAGACGAAAUGUCUUCAAUUUAUUCUCAAACUUUCAAUCAAAAUGAUGUCUGGCUUGUUUGAAUGAAGCAUAGUUAUUGAAUAUGCACUCCU
rnacentral:ncRNA from 1 species